GGUUGUGGCUCAGUGGUAGAGCGUUUGCCUAGCAUGUAUGAGGCACUGGGUUCAAUUCUCAGCACCG
rnacentral:tRNA from 1 species